GUGGGAAUAGCUCAGUGGUAAAGUGCAUGCUUAGCAUGCACGAAGUCUUGGGUUCAAUCCCCAGUACCUCCA
rnacentral:tRNA from 1 species